UACGUAGGGGGCGAGCGUUAUCCGGAUUUAUUGGGCGUAAAGAGUUCGUAGGCGGUUUGUUAAGUCUAAGAUUUAAUCCCGAAGCUCAACUUCGGUUCGUCUUAGAAACUGGCAGACUUGAGUGUGGUAGAGGCAAGUGGAAUUUCUAGUGUAGCGGUUAAAUGCGUAGAUAUUAGAAGGAACACCAGUGGCGAAGGCGGCUUGCUGGGCCAUCACUGACGCUGAGGAACGAAAGCGUGGGGAGC
rnacentral:rRNA from 1 species